GUUCCUAUUAUUGUUGUGUUGUGUUGCCUGUAUAAUCCCUUGCUUGAGAAAAUAUCUUACAGAAGUUGUCAGAGCAACGGGAAUGAUGUCUUUGAUGGUAGUGACCCCAGUGGAUACUGAAUCCAGCUCUGGGCAAAAGACGGGUCUGUCUGAGGACGAUCCUUGGUUUGCUGUUGGGGAAGUGGUUGAAUAAAGCUUAUCCAAAAUGUUCUCAUAUGUAUUGAAUGUAGUGGCAGGUGGAUGUGAAGUACUGGGACAAAAAGUCUGUCCCAUACAUGUUAGGUGUAGCCACUGUCGCAAAAAGGUCUUCUUUUUAUACGUUUUUUAAAUAAUAAUGUUCUGAAUUUAUCCUGUGUACUAUUUGUCUUUCCUUAUGUGAAGGUUUGAAGUUCCUGGGUGACUGGUAGUCAACCUAGUACAGGUUAGGUGUAGCCGGAAGGACGUGAGGGUUUUUAACUAAUCAUUUAAUCCUUAAAUUGGUAAUUUACAAUUGUGUUGAGUGACACCCUAGGGUGUGUCAAAAGGGGGAAUCUCAAAAUGUCCCUGAAAUUUUAAGAACUUAUGUAUUCACACCUAUCAGGUGUGAAAAGGGGGAUUGUUAGGUUUUAACCAACUAUUUGUUUGCAUAACCAAUAUAAUACAUCUAUUUAAACCUAUAUAAUAAAAUUAGUUGUGGUGCAUAACUUAUGAAUACUAAUGCUAAACAUAAGAGGUUUAUAUUGUAUUAACAUAGAUUGAGCGACAUAUAACAGACAUGACUAACUGGAGGGUUGCUGACUAGUAGUGUAGGCUGAGUAGACUCGUGACACACACACACACACAAUGCCUGGUUGUGGGGCCGCUCAAGGACAGGUGUACGGGAGGGGCUGGUAGAAUGGAAGCAGAAACUGUCCUAACUGUAGCAUAAAAACAGGCACUGUCCUUGGGUGUAUGACUCUCGGGUACACACAUGAAGAUAAGCUAGAAGACAACUAUGCUUGGCAACAAAGAUGCGUCUAGAGGCUGGGACCAGCCUGCACGCCAACGAUAGGAUGAGUAAGUUUAAACCACGCUCAUCCUCCCUCUGACAGGCCAGCAGUGAGCUGGAACUAUCUCUGUCAGAGUAUUUAAUGAAGAACUUAUGAUGUCAUUUGCAGUUCUCUGUUUGCCCUGCGAGGUGAACCCGUAUAUACGGAAUUUGCAUUUGCCAUUUUUAUUAACUGCUGAAUAAAUAUUAACAUAAUAUGAAGAUUAAUUGACUCUUUGUUCCUAUAUCAGAUUUGAACACAUGC
rnacentral:lncRNA from 8 species